AUACGGAGGGUGCAAGCGUUAUCCGGAAUCAUUGGGUUUAAAGGGUCCGUAGGCGGACUAUUAAGUCAGAGGUGAAAUCCCACAGCUCAACUGUGGAACUGCCUUUGAUACUGGUAGUCUUGAGUUAUAUGGAAGUAGAUAGAAUGUGUAGUGUAGCGGUGAAAUGCAUAGAUAUUACACAGAAUACCGAUUGCGAAGGCAGCCCACUACGUAUAUACUGACGCUAAGGGACGAAAGCGUGGGGAGCGAACAGGAUUAGAUACCCUUGUAGUCC
rnacentral:rRNA from 1 species